rnacentral:lncRNA from 1 species
GUGCGUGAGGAUGUACACUCGGUCACCUAUUUUUUUUUUUAAAUUUCCUUGGACUUCCAUUUGGGACUCGAUCGAUCGCUUGACACUUCGAAUCAUUUCGUCAAGCCUACUUAUAUUGAGCAUAACGGAGACAUGACGUGGUAUUGCCAAUAGUCAUGUAUAUUAUUACAUCAAACCAUUAGUAGAGAUGGUAACUCACCCACAUCUGUAAAUAAUAAUAAUAUAAUAGAGACGACAUUGUAAGGGACCUGUCUCUAUAAAUGCCCAUCAACAGCGGUUAUUUGACAGAGAUUGGUAGAUGCCUAUCUCUGCUAAUAGAAAACGGCUGCUUCUCAUACAUAUGACUUCAAUUAUUUUAAACAUGAGAGUUGCCACGGAUGUGAGAGUUUAAAUGGGAAUCGCUGUAAUACAAGUGACUGAAAAUGGGUUUCUCCCAUGUGAUGAUGCAGAGUUGUCAGAUCAUCAUCAUGUGGCUAGGGUUACGUGCGCAC